rnacentral:tmRNA from 1 species
AGGAGUAGUUCUUUUUUAAAGAAAUUAAAGAAAUUGACUGUUAGGUCUAUUGGAUUAUUGUUUGGACGAGGGUUCGACUCCCUCAUGCUCCACUAAGUUCGUUCGACUCGAACCAGUGGCAACUUCUGUAUGGGGUAACUUCCAUGGCUAUUGAAAUAAUAUAGUUGUCGGCAACUAAGUUGCAUAAAUAAAACAAGGAGAUUAGUAGGUUUCCUAGCCAUUAGGUUGCAAGUCCUAUAAAAAGGAAACCUUAAUCUAGGGGCAUCGUGGUUUUGACAGCAAUAGUGAAAAUAGAAUAGGUCAAUAACGCCAUAACUGGCAACUUUUAUGUAACAGACUACACUCGUAUUGCAGCGUAAUACGAUAAGUCAACGGCUAAGCUAAUGUCGUAAAAAGCUGGAGUGAGAUAGGAAAUAAGGAGGGUUCGAUUCCCUCCCUCACUACAAAACU